AGUUACCGCUACUGAGCAUGUUAACAAAUUUAUCAUAUUUUGCAACACACUUGAUUUCAUUGUGUAUUGAAACUGCAGGCCCUCCUGGUUAUUGUACGCGAUCUAGAACUCGAACAUUGAGCAAUACGUAUUCUUCGGGAGACUACUCCGUUUUAGAAAUAAUACGUCAAUUAAUGAACGGCAGUUCAGAAACUGAGAUCUGUUGUAGAUUUAAAAUAAGAAAACGGUCCAGAUAAGCGUUUUAACAACCAAGUAUAAAUUUCCGCAAUUUUUGGAGUGUUGUAGUAGAUACAACGGAGUGGAAUGUACAUUAAGCUUUUUAAGUAUUUUCCAUAUAAUUGUCUUCGUCAAGGAAUCCAAUGGAAUGAAGUUUUAUCCUUGCUAAUUUCCAGGUAUAAGUAUCAGCGCAAAACUCAUCUAAUACUAUCAGCCUAGCGACGCCGAUAACUUCGGGUUCGACACGAAUGUCAACUACAUUACAUUAGCAGUGCCCCACAGAGUGGCCACUGGUGAUGUAAAAGGAAGUGAUGGGGUGUUUAUUCGACUAUUUGGGCAAUUCCAUAGUUACGGGUGUUACAUGUACACACCUUAAAAUCAGGAAAAAUAAUUACUUCUUCACUCUUUCCCUUGCUGGUACUGGUGC